AUGGUGUCGAUAUCAAUACUUCAACAUAUUAACACCAAUUUGAGACUUCAAUCCGAAUUAAAACAAAACAUACUAACACUAUCAUCAUAUUCCAAUAGAAUUACACAGAAUUUAAUUUGGAAUCGACACAAACCACGAACUCGAAACUCAAACAGAAUUAACAUAUUCAAGGCUGAUAAAACGUUUCUCAUAUUAAACUCAAGCAGCAUAUCAUUUCAAAUUAAAAGGACAACACAAUCGUAUCGACAUUUUCACAGAUUCAUAGACGAUUAUAUCAAUAUAUCAGUUCAAUUCAAAUUUUGUAACAGCUAUUCAUCACAGAAUCUUGACAACAACUCAGUUUAA